AGAAUCAACGCUGGCGGCGUGCCUAACACAUGCAAGUCGAACGAGAAAGUGGAGCAAUCCAUGAGUAAAGUGGCGCACGGGUGAGUAACACGUGACUAACCUACCCUUGAGUGGGGAAUAACUUCGGGAAACCGAGGCUAAUACCGCAUAACACCUACUGGUCAAAGGAGCAAUUCGCUUAAGGAGGGGGUCGCGGCAGAUUAGUUAGUUGGCGGGGUAAUGGCCCACCAAGACAGUGAUCUGUA
rnacentral:rRNA from 1 species